rnacentral:rRNA from 1 species
UACGUAGGGUCCGAGCGUUGUCCGGAAUUAUUGGGCGUAAAGGGCUCGUAGGCGGUUUGUCGCGUCGGGAGUGAAAACUCAGGGCUCAACCCUGAGCGUGCUUCCGAUACGGGCAGACUAGAGGUAUGCAGGGGAGAACGGAAUUCCUGGUGUAGCGGUGGAAUGCGCAGAUAUCAGGAGGAACACCGGUGGCGAAGGCGGUUCUCUGGGCAUUACCUGACGCUGAGGAGCGAAAGCGUGGGGAGCGAUCCGG